rnacentral:rRNA from 1 species
UACGAAGGGGGCUGGCGUUGCUCGGAAUUACUGGGCGUAAAGCGCACGUAGGCGGCUUUCUAAGUCGGGGGUGAAAUCCUGGAGCUCAACUCCAGAACUGCCUUCGAUACUGGAGAGCUCGAGUCCGGGAGAGGUGAGUGGAACUGCGAGUGUAGAGGUGAAAUUCGUAGAUAUUCGCAAGAACACCAGUGGCGAGGGCGGCUCACUGGCCCGGUACUGACGCUGAGGUGCGAAAGCGUGGGGAGCAAACAGG